CUCCUCCUUUCCUUUCUGUUUCCUUUUUCCCAUUUCUUUCCACACCAUAGACCCUGCCUCCUUGCUUAUGAACUUUCCCUUUGGCUACCCAGUGUCCCUACAAUGAUUUCUGAUUUCAAGACACCCAGGGACAUGCUCCACACUGUCCCAGCUCUGCCUGCCUAGAGACUGCCCCCGGACCUCUGCUCUACACAGCCUAUUCAUUAGCAGGUGGGAUUUCUGUAAUCAGAAUCUAAAGAUGUUCUGCCCUGACCUCUGGAACUCCUGAAGAUACUGAGACAUGGCUCCUGUGAUUGUGUUAUAUGGUACACUUCACUGUAAGUCAGGGAUAUUAUCCGGGAUUAUCUGGGUGGUCCCAGAGUAAUCACACCAGCCCUUAAAAUGCAGCAAGCUUUCUCCAGCUGCCAGCAGAGCAGAAAGUCAGAGACACACAGAGGGAAACUUAGAGGUACUUGAAAUGUGACAAUGACUUGCCACACGGUUGCUGGCUUUGAAAAUGGAGGCAACAUGUGAGAAGGCAUGUGUGUGGCCCCGAGAAACCGUCAGUCAGCAAGAAUCAGGGAAUGCAGAUCUACAGCUGCAAGGAGCUGGAUUUUGCCCACCCUCUCUACGGGAUUGGAAGUGCCUUCUUCCCAGCACCGCCGCAGAAGACUCCAGCCAGCACCUUGACUGGGUCUGUAAGACCCUGAGCAGAGGACUCGGAUAGCCCAUCUGGAUUUCUGGGCUACAGAACUGUGAGAUAAUAAAUGAAUGUUUCUAUAAACUGCUGACUUC
rnacentral:lncRNA from 1 species